CGUUCAGAGGCCAAGGCUCCAAAACCGGGAAAAGAGGGGAAAAUGGAACGCCUCUACCCCUUUCUAAACUCGCGUCCGACGACGGCGAAGGGCCGACGACGACGACGGCUUCAGGGGCUGAUUCAGGUAUUUCUUUCCUCUUUUUCCUUAUCUUUACUUAGUGUUUUAAGAUAGAUUAAUAAAGAAAAAAGAUAAUAAUAAAAAGACUAUAUAAAAAAACGAAAGAACAGUUCUAAAAAAAACAACCUUUAGAAUUUCAAUUUCUGACUUUCGAUUUUCUAAUGUGCGUUCGUAAAAAAGGAAGAAGAUUACAAUGGCUGUGUUCGGCUUAUAUAGCCAAAUCUUUAAAACUGCUGAACUUCUAUUUUUUGUUGUUUCAGUUGUCUUCUAGUGCUUGUGUGUUGUUUGCUAUAUGUUGCAGGUGAUAGGGGUGUCAGACGCGUGGUGGUAGCAUGCGCGAUGGAGGCCGGUGGCGUGCGCGAGUGGCGAUUGGUAGCAGAGGCAACGUGCACGAGGCUGGCGGCUAGGGGUCAGACCUAGGUGCGGCGCACCUAGGGUUUCCCUUGGCUGAAAAGUUUCUUAGUUUUGGGCUAGGGCUAAUUUGGGCUUGCUGGGUUAAUUUUUAGGUAGUGGGUCAAGAAUUGGGUUGGUCAGAUUUGGGCUACUGUUGUUUUAUUUAUUUUGUUUUAUUUUGGCACUGGGCCCGGGCAAAAAUUGGGCUCUACAGCUGCCCCUCUUUGCUCAUUGUCG
rnacentral:lncRNA from 1 species